AACGAACGCUGGCGGCAGGCCUAACACAUGCAAGUCGAGCGCGCCCUUCUGGGUGAUCGGCGGACUGGUGCUUAACGCGUGGGAACGUGCUCUUCUCUACUCAAUCUCCUCGUGAAACUGAGACUAAUACCGCAUACGCCUUCUGGUGCCACGUUUUAUCUGAGAAGGAUCGGCCCGCUUUGGAUUAGGUAGUUGGUGGGGUAAUGGCCCACCAAGCCGACGAUCCAUAGCUGGUUUGAGAGGAUGAUCAGCAACACUGGGACUGAGACACGGCGCAGACUCCUACGGGAGGCAGCAGUGGGGAAGCAUAGACAAUGGGGGCGAGACGGAUCUAGCCAUGCCGCGUGAGUGAGGAAGGCCGUAGGGUUGUAAAGCUCUUUAAGAUGGGAAGAUAAUGACGGUACCAGAAGAAGAAGCCCCGGCUAACUACGUG
rnacentral:rRNA from 1 species